rnacentral:lncRNA from 1 species
GAAAGGAUUUUCAAUAAAUGGUGAUGUUCUAAUUUGCAGUCUGUAUGUUGAAAAAUAAAAAUAAAUCCAUACUUAUCACCUUGCACAAAGCUCAGUUUCAAAUUGAACACGAUUAUCAACAUAAAAUAUGAUACACUGAAUCUAAUAGAAGAUAAACUCAUUGACACAGAGAGGGAAAUGUCCUAAACACAUAUCCCAUGGUUCAUGCUCUAAGAUCAACAAUUCAUAAAUGUAAUAUAAUAAACUAUUUUAGAUCAUCUCCCCAUUAAUGUAACAAUCACUGUAGUCAUCAAAUGGUUUCCAUGUAAGAUUUGAGGCAAUUACCAUAUUAACCUUUUUUUUUUUUAAUUUGGUUGGUUAAUUGUUUGGGGGGUAUUCAAUUUGAAAUGAACAGGAGAUCAUUUCCUGCCUGCGAACAACGUGGAGGGAGUCAGUUCAGGAAACAGAUAGCUACUACAGAUAAUAAAUAAAUAAAUACUCCAAAUGAAGGCAAUUUUUAAACCUUUCAUAGCAUGGCAAAAAACACUUUAGUCAUUUACAGACCAAAAGCUAGAACCUCUUUGUAGUGUGGGCAUUGGGCUUAGCAGCCUAGUCUCAGUAUACUAACAUACUAGGAAAUUAUCAUAAAAAAUACACUGAAUAGUUUGUCUUUAGAUCUUUAAAAACCUCAGAAAUACUUAUCAAAAUAAAAGACUAUAAUAAAUUCAACAGAAUAAGUUUCAUUUUCUUUCAACAAAAUUUAGGCUUUUUAUAAUAAUAAAUAUUUGUUAUGAGUAAUUCUAGCUCAUUUGGUCAUAAAUAUAUAUGUUUUUAGGAAAAUAAUUCUAAAAACUUAAAAUUUAUGUUUUGUAUUAUUAUGUAUAACAUUGGCAAAUUAGAUAAGACAUGCUCAUUCAUGUUAAACUCAUGAAUCUACUCCUAUUUAUUGAAUCUUUUAAAAAUCAGAAACCUCCCUGGGCAAGAUCUUAAACUAAUGUUCCCACUUAUGCCAUGACAUUUUUAGCAGAUAUUUAAAUGUAUUAACUGAUCUACUAAUGAGUAGAAAUCUGAAAGACCAGAAUCUCUGUUACCUUUCACAUAAUGAUUCUAUUCAAUGUAAACUAUGACUACAAUUAGAAAAAUACCCAAAUCCUAAAGUCAAAUCCUCACCUCUUUUAUCAGUCAUAGAAAAUAUUUUAAUAGCUAUGGUACUGUAAUCUGUAAUCCCAGCACUUGACAGUUGAAUGAAGGAGGAUCAAGGCCUUUGACUGUCCAUAGCUACAUAGCGAGUUUGAGGUCAGCAUGAGUAAUGUAGGACUGUCUCAAAUAAACCUGUCCCCUACAAAUCAAACAGAAAUCUAAUGUUAGUAUAAAGAUAUAAAAAAGUAAAUAUUUCUGUCACUUCAGUAGGAAAAUGUUGACCAGAAAUACUAAAAUAAAUGUACAAUUGCAAUUUUUUUACUAUAUUUUUGAAGGGAAAACUAUUGAAAUCUGGAUAUCCAUAGAGUUCCCUGUUUAGAACAUUAUCCUGACAGCAUAUAGCCCAGAACUGGUAAGAAGCAAGGCUUGGAGAAUCACAGGAGUUGCCUUGCCCAGACUUUAGAGAUGGCAGCAAAUAACUGUAAGUAUCACCUGUUAUUUUAGACUGAGGAAGUGCAAUUGAUGAUGACAUGUUCCAAUAUAAUAAUAGAAAAAACAAACAAACAAACAAAUAAAAAACUAUUAUUUCUGCUUUAGAUCUUGGCAGGGCCAUUCUAGCCCCAUCGUUUGACAAAAGCACAACACAGCUCAGAAAAUUGUUUUGAUGACAUCAACAAUUGUCAGACUUAAAAUCUAUCGAUGUGCUUCAAACAUCUCUCAUCUUCUGGGGUUAUACAUGGUGGUAUUUAUGAGACCUCUAAAUGAUCCCUAGGAUUAGGAGCAUAGUGUGUAGAGUUGUGAGAGGAUAUAUAGACUGGAGAGAUAAAAUGGGAAGCAUGGUGAUCCUUGGAUUGCCUGUGCCACAUACCUUUGCAGUUGUGCUAAUAGAUUCAGUGCAGAUUGCCAAUACCUUCUAUGAGCACUACCCUAGCACACAGUACAGUGCUUUCUAUUCUUUUUCCGGGCUUUUGCCUGUGAGAGGGAAUGUAGCUUGGAAACUACUGGUUGGUGUGUGGAAGAUAAAAAUCAUUGGAUCGGUUCAAAGCUAUGGGAGCUGCCAGUUAAUAGGCUAAGCUUCAGACUACAUCCUUCCAAUGGAUAACUAGGGUCCUGUCUAGAUGAAUUUCUGGAUCCCCAGGAUACAUGAAUAGCAUGCAGUAUUCUAGAGUAGUAUCCAGCUUAAUGAUACUUCUGUUGCUCUUGUGUCUUUCCCUCUUCUGUAUCCCACAAGUUCAUUCGGCUUUCUUGGCAUGACUCACAAAUGAGCAUUGUGUAUUAACCUGUGAUAUAUGAGAGGAGUUGUCUGAAUAGAGAUGAAAUAUUGAGUCAUGGCAAACAAAACUGUGGAAAUGGAAACCAUCCAGGGGCAAAUGUUGUAAAAUUAACAUAGUCUGUGAAAGAAAAAUGCUUUUGCUUUCAGAAGGAGAGUGAAUGGAGUUUUUCACUAAGCUGGAAGGGGGCUAAUAAAGACCUUUUUUAACUGGAGAAUUUAAUAAGAAUUAACCAAAACCCAGGUGCAAUUAUUCUUACAGGAGUGAACUGGAUAGAUGGGUAGAGUUUGGCUAGUAUAAGAUACUUGAUUUAAUGACUUUUGAGGUCCUUUUUCGAAAUCAUGAUCAAUAAAUUCUGCCCUCUGUGACAUUUCUACUAUAUUUGUUUGAAAGAUGAAUGAACUAGGAUACAUAGAUAUAACUUUAUAUUAUAGUUCUUGAACUUUCAUGAUGUGACAAUUAAAUCUGUAUGAUCAGGACAUAUUGUAGAGCUCUGCAUUAGGCACACAUAAUCUAUAGCUCCUGGGGACAUACACGCAAAUGAACAAACAUGACUUUAUAGUGUUUCUUGUUUUCAGAAUGGAAUACAUUUUAUAAAUAAUCUAAAAGCAAUAGGUUCAGUUUCUAUGUUCUUAGAGAUAGAACCUUAAAGACCCUAAAAACUCUAAAAAUUAAAAAAGAAAAAAGAAGAGAAAAGAAAAUAAACUUGAAGCUUUAAAUAAACAACAAAAACCCUAAAAACAAACAAACAAACAAACAAUAAAAAAAACAUAAUUUUUUUUGAAAAAAUAAAACUAAAAGAACCUAAAACCCUAAACAAACAAACAAACAAACAAACAAACAAAUCUAGAUCUCUACAAAGACCC